UGAUCUCAAGUAAUGAUCGUAUUAUUGUAUAUUCUUGUAAAUUUAAGUAAAAUUUAAAAAUUUAUCUAGCGAUCUACAAUAUGAUAUUAAUAAGAUUAAUCCUUCAUUUUAUUUUCUACUUUGAUCUUCGUGUACUAUUCCUAACCUCAAAAUGAGUACAAGUGUCAGUCAUAGAAUCAAGAUUGGGAUACAUAUCAAUUAUUAAUAGAAAAAGAUAUCCUGUAUUGAAAGAAGAUAAAACAAAGCAAUAUUGUCUACAACUUUAAACCGUAAUUUCGUUUUAAUUGGAAACGCGAAGGAAAAUUGAAAUAUUACAUCUCGAAAGCCACAUUCUGCUAAGAUUAAUUAAAAUAGAAUUUUGACGUCCAAUUCAUAAUACAUUAAUUUAAAUCAUUGCAACGAACGAAUUGCAGAAAUAUAUUUCACUAUUCUAUCAACAAAGAUGAAAGAGAAACAGUCGGAGACGAGAACAAUCAGAGGUUAAUGGAAAAGCUUUACAUUAAUAUCAAAUUGAAUAAUAAGUCUGUUGAUGUCGACUAUGACUUAAAAAAAGUUCAAUUAUCUUUUCGACAGAAUUACAAAGGAACGUUUCAUUUUUAUCAUCUAACCACUAAUAACAUGAAAUAUUGUACUCAAAUGAAUUAAUUGAAAGUAUCACUCAUGUCCAGAAACAUGUUGAUACAAACAUUUGAAGGACAAUUGUAAAUGUAUGAAUUAAAAUUAAUAAUAAAUUAGAAGUCAUCAACUUUAAAAAAAAAAAAAAACA